GACGAACGCUGGCGGCGUGCUUAACACAUGCAAGUCGAACGGAAAGGCCCUGCUUUUGUGGGGUGCUCGAGUGGCGAACGGGUGAGUAACACGUGAGUAACCUGCCCUUGACUUUGGGAUAACUUCAGGAAACUGGGGCUAAUACCGGAUAGGAGCUCUUGCUGCAUGGUGGGGGAUGGAAAGAUUCGGCGGUUGGGGAUGGACUCGCGGCUUAUCAGCCUGUUGGUGGGGUAGUGGCAUACCAAGGUUUUGACGGGUAGCCGGCCUGGGAGGGUGACCGGCCACAUUAGGACUGAGAUACGGCCCAGACUCGUACGGGAGGCAGCAGUGGAGAAUAUUGCACAAUAGGCGGAAGCCUGAUGCAGCAACGCCGCGUGCGGGAUGACGGCCUUCGGGUUGUAAACCAAUUUCGCCUGUGACGAAGCGUGAGUGACGGUAAUGGGUAAAGAAGCCCCGGCUAACUACGUG
rnacentral:rRNA from 1 species